AGCGAACGCUGGCGGCAGGCUUAACACAUGCAAGUCGAGCGGGCACCUUUCGGUGUGUCAGCGGCGGACGGGUGAGUAACGCGUGGGAACGUGCCCUCUGGUUCGGAAUAACUGAGUGAAACUUGAGCUAAUACCGGAUACGUCCUUUUGUGGAAAGGCUGGCUGCGGGAGGAUCUGCCCGCGUCUGAUUAGCUAGUUGGUGAGGUAACGGGGCACCAAGGCGACGUUAAGUAGCUGGUCUGAGAGAAUGAUGCGACACACCGGGGCUGAGACGCGGCCGAGACUCUUACGGGAGGGAGCAGUGGGGGAUAUUGGCAAGUGGGGGGAAUCAUGAUGCAGCCAGGCCGGGUGAGUGAUGAAGGCCUUAGGGUUGUAAAGCACGUUUAUCCGGGACGAUAAUGACGGUACCGGAAGAAUAAGCCCCGGCUAACUUCGUG
rnacentral:rRNA from 1 species